rnacentral:rRNA from 1 species
UACGGAGGGUGCAAGCGUUAUUCGGAAUUACUGGGCGUAAAGCGUGCGCAGGCGGUUAUGCAAGACAGAUGUGAAAUCCCCGGGCUCAACCUGGGAACUGCAUUUGUGACUGCAUGGCUAGAGUACGGUAGAGGGGGAUGGAAUUCCGCGUGUAGCAGUGAAAUGCGUAGAUAUGCGGAGGAACACCGAUGGCGAAGGCGAUCCCCUGGACCUGUACUGACGCUCAUGCACGAAAGCGUGGGGAGCAAACAGG